GACGAACGCUGGCGGCGUGCCUAACACAUGCAAGUCGAACGGGGUAUUUCUUCGGAGAUACUUAGUGGCGAACGGGUGAGUAACGCGUGAGAAACCUGCCUUUCAGUGGGGGACAACAGUUGGAAACGACUGCUAAUACCGCAUAAUGUUAUUUGGGGGCAUCCCUGAAUAACCAAAGAUUUAUUGCUGAAAGAUGGUCUCGCGUCUGAUUAGCUAGAUGGCGGGGUAACGGCCCACCAUGGCGACGAUCAGUAGCCGGUCUGAGAGGAUGAACGGCCACAUUGGGACUGAGAUACGGCCCAGACUCCUACGGGAGGCAGCAGUGGGGAAUAUUGGGCAAUGGGCGAAAGCCUGACCCAGCAACGCCGCGUGAAGGAAGAAGGCC
rnacentral:rRNA from 1 species